UACGAAGGGGGCUAGCGUUACUCGGAAUGACUGGGCGUAAAGGGCGCGUAGGCGGUUUGUUUUAGUUAGGCGUGAAAUUCCUGGGCUCAACCUGGGGGGCUGCGCUUAAUACAGGCAGACUAGAGUGUGAAAGAGGGUCGUGGAAAUUUCCAGUGUAGAGGUGAAAUUCGUAGAUAUUGGAAAAGAACACCGGUGGCGAAGGCGGCGACCUGGUUCAUUACUGACGCUGAGGCGCGAAAGCGUGGGGAGCAAACAGG
rnacentral:rRNA from 1 species